rnacentral:rRNA from 1 species
AUGGCCAAGAUCAGCUCAAGAAGGCGCAAGAACUUCAUCAGCGCUCUAAAAGUGGGAGACAACGUUGUGACUGCGCACGCUGAGAAGGAAAAGGCAAUACAUGAUCAUUUCAACUGCAUCCUGGGAUCCACCCAGCACCGAACCACGUCGAUCAACUGGGAUGAGUUGCGUAUGCCUUCUGUGCAAGCAAAUGGCCUGGACAACCCGUUCUCCGAGGAAGAGAUUUGGGUGGCGAUAAAGGAUUCACCAGCGGAGAAAUCGCCAGGGCCGGACGGUUUUUGCGGCGUCUUCUUUCGGAGUUGCUGGAGCAUAAUAAAGACGGAUAUCAUGCAGGCGUUCCAGCAGUUCUACCACCUGGCCGGGAAAAAAUUUGGGCUCUGA